rfam:Catenulispora acidiphila DSM 44928, complete genome.
GGGGCUGUACCCCAAUGGUAGAGGGACAGGUUUUAGGUACCUGCAAGUGCGAGUUCGAGUCUCGUCAGCCCCA